rnacentral:rRNA from 1 species
GAUGAAUGCUAGCGGCAGGCCUAACACAUGCAAGUCGAGGGGUAGAACACUUCGGUGUUUGAGACCGGCGCACGGGUGCGUAACGCGUAAGCAAUCUACCUUAUACAGGGGAAUAGCCCAGAGAAAUUUGGAUUAAUGCCCCAUAGCAUUACGACUUGGCAUCAAGAUGUAAUUAAAGUUCCAACGGUAUAAGAUGAGCAUGCGUCCCAUUAGUUAGUUGGUAAGGUAACGGCUUACCAAGACGAUGAUGGGUAGGGGUCCUGAGAGGGAGAUCCCCCACACUGGUACUGAGACACGGACCAGACUCCUACGGGAGGCAGCAGUGAGGAAUAUUGGUCAAUGGUCGCAAGACUGAACCAGCCAUGCCGCGUGCAGGAAGACGGUCCUAUGGAUUGUAAACUGCUUUUAUACAGGAAGAACCCCUCCCACGUGUGGGAGCUUGACGGUACUGUAGGAAUAAGGAUCGGCUAACUCCGUGCCAGCAGCCGCCGUAA